UUUUGCACCUGCAGCCACGUGGUCUUGUGAUCUCGUCAGAUCUCACAAGCGAACCAGGGAUGGACCUGGCUGUACUGGAAUGGGAAACCUACAAGGGGUGUUUGUAAAUGGGAGAG
rnacentral:rRNA from 1 species